rnacentral:rRNA from 1 species
AUGGUAAAACACUUUAGUCCGGAAAGAAAUGGCUCUGGUUAAUACCUGGGGUCGAUGACGGUACCGAAAGAAUAAGGACCGGACUAACUACGAUGCCAGACAGACCGCGGAUAAUACGUAGGGUCCAAGCGUUAAUCGGAAUUACUGGGCGUAAAGCGUGCGCAGGCGGUUGUGCAAGACCGAUGUGAAAUCCCCGAGCUUAACUUGGGAAUUGCAUUGGUGACUGCACGGCUAGAGUGUGUCAGAGGGGGGUAGAAUUCCACGUGUAGCAGUGAAAUGCGUAGAGAUGUGGAGGAAUACCGAUGGCGAAGGCAGCCCCCUGGGAUAACACUGACGCUCAUGCACGAAAGCGUGGGGAGCAAACAGGAUUAGAUACCCUGGUAGUCCACGCCCUAAACGAUGUCAACUAGUUGUUGGGGAUUCAUUUCCUUAGUUAAACGUUAGCCUAAACGCCGUGAAAGUUUGAACCCGCCUGGGGAGUACCGGGUCCGCCAAAGAAUUAAAAAACUCAAA